CUGGCAGCUUGACAUGUAAACAAUGCACAUUUUAUCUCUUGGAUGUUUUCCUAUCAUCAACACAGUCUGUUGCUGGACCCUGCCAGACAAGCAGCUCUGUUCUCCUUCAACCAGAUUUUUCCUGCACUGUAGAUCCAUCUGGUCUGCAGAGGGAUUGGGCAAAACUGUACUGGCUUUACUCUGCCGGAGCAACAACUCUGAUAGUGGUUUAUGGUGUUCCCUCUUUCUAUGUGGGCAGAGUAAGACCUGAUCCCUGGAGGCCUCUUGGAGCAGGAGGGAUGCCACACAGGACUUUCUCACACCCCAGGACCUUGGAGGGCUGUCCAGCCAUGGCGCUUGGCAGAGCCAGACGUCUCCUCCCCUCCCUGAGUUUGUCUGUCUGUAGUCAGUCCAGGACCACAGCCUGUCAAUACUGACAGAGACCCCACUGACAAGGAAAGGCUGGAAACCAGGGGUGAUGGUGCAUAGAACUGGAAACCAUUCAUCUUUAGCACUGGGGUUUGGUGCCGCCACCACAGCAGGGACUAGGGACAUCUUCCUGUCCAUCUGAACUGUACAGAGAGUUAUCGCCGUCAUCUCAUCAAUCCAUGUGCCCAGAUGGCAUCGAGCCCUCACGUCAACACACUUACUGUCCAUUCCAGGGUUCUGGCUCAGCCUCCUCAACAGGCAGGAGCACCAACUGACCAUGCCAGCGACCAGCCAGGACACAGGGCCCAAAAUAAUAGAUAGAAUCCACUUCCAACUUCCCUCCUGAGUCCUCUUGACUAUCAUCCAUCAACAAAAUGAAUCUACACUAUGGGGUGCCUGGGUUGGAUUUAUGACCAGUUAGGGUGUCUUAUUGUUGAUAAACUUAGUGGAACAAAAUGAGAGAAAUCUGAAACUCUUCCCCUAACAUGGAGGAUAAAGCACAUAUAUGAAUUUCAUAUGCUCAAAAGAUUUCAAGAAGACAAAGAUGCUUUGGUCUGAUGCAUAAAUCUGAGUGUUUGAACUAGAGCAGAUGCUUGUAAAAUGAAGUGCAAAUGAACAAAAGAAUGGAAUAAAUGUGUAAUGAAAUCAGAUGCCGAGACCUCUGCCAGUGGUCUGAUGAUCUUGAUGAUGAAG